rnacentral:rRNA from 1 species
CGGCAGGCUUACACAUGCAAGUCGAGCGGGCAUCCUUGUGGUGUCAGCGGCAGACGGGUGAGUAACGCGUGGGAACGUGCCCUUCGGUUCGGAAUAACUCAGGGAAACUUGAGCUAAUACCGGAUGCGUGCGCGAGCAGAAAGGUUUAUCUGCCGAAGGAUCGGCCCGCGUCUGAUUAGCUAGUUGGUGAGGUUACGGCUCACCAAGGCGACGAUCAGUAGCUGGUCUGAGAGGAUGAUCAGCCACACUGGGACUGAGACACGGCCCAGACUCCUACGGGAGGCAGCAGUGGGGAAUAUUGGACAAUGGGGGCAACCCUGAUCCAGCCAUGCCGCGUGAGUGAUGACGGCCUUAGGGUUGUAAAGCUCUUUUCUCCGGGACGAUAAUGACGGUACCGGAGGAAUAAGCCCCGGCUAACUUCGUGCCAGCAGCCGCGGUAAUACGAAGGGGGCUAGCGUCUGCUCGGAAUCACUGGGCGUAAAGGGCGCGUAGCGGCUGACUUAGUCCAGGGUGAAAGCCCGUUGGCUCAACCACGGAAUGGCCUUCGAUACUGGUUGGCUUGAGACCGGAAGAGGACAGGGAACUUGCGAGUGUAGAGGUGAAAUUCGUAGAUAUUCGCAAGAACA